rnacentral:rRNA from 14 species
UCGCCGAUUAAAGUGGUACGCGAGCUGGGUUCAGAACGUCGUGAGACAGUUCGGUCCUCUAUCCGCUGUGGGCGUUUGAGACUUGAGGGGUUCAUUCUCUAGUACGAGAGGACCGAGAAUGACGAACCUCUGGUGUUCCGGUUAUCACGUCAGUGGUAGCGCCGGGUAGCUAAGUUCGGAAAAGAUAAGCGCUGAAAGCAUCUAAGCGCCAAGCUGUUCCCAAGAUAAGGUCUCAAUCUGACUUCGGUCAGUGCAGGGUCCGGGUAGACCAC